GCUGGGGGGGGGCCUGCUAUACAUGCAGUCGAACGAGUUCUGAUUAUUGAAAGGUGCUUGCAUCUUGAUUUAAUUUUGAACGAGUGGCGGACGGGUGAGUAACACGUGGGUAACCUGCCCUUAAGUGGGGGAUAACAUUUGGAAACAGAUGCUAAUACCGCAUAAAUCCAAGAACCGCAUGGUUCUUGGCUGAAAGAUGGCGUAAGCUAUCGCUUUUGGAUGGACCCGCGGCGUAUUAGCUAGUUGGUGAGGUAACGGCUCACCAAGGCAAUGAUACGUAGCCGAACUGAGAGGUUGAUCGGCCACAUUGGGACUGAGACACGGCCCAAACUCCUACGGGAGGCAGCAGUAGGGAAUCUUCCACAAUGGACGCAAGUCUGAUGGAGCAACGCCGCGUGAGUGAAGAAGGCUUUCGGGUCGUAAAACUCUGUUGUUGGAGAAGAAUGGUCGGCAGAGUAACUGUUGUCGGCGUGACGGUAUCCAACCAGAAAGCCACGGCUAACUACGUGCCAGCAGCCGCGGUAAUACGUAGGUGGCAAGCGUUAUCCGGAUUUAUUGGGCGUAAAGCGAGCGCAGGCGGUUUUUUAAGUCUGAUGUGAAAGCCCUCGGCUUAACCGAGGAAGUGCAUCGGAAACUGGGAAACUUGAGUGCAGAAGAGGACAGUGGAACUCCAUGUGUAGCGGUGAAAUGCGUAGAUAUAUGGAAGAACACCAGUGGCGAAGGCGGCUGUCUGGUCUGUAACUGACGCUGAGGCUCGAAAGCAUGGGUAGCGAACAGGAUUAGAUACCCUGGUAGUCCAUGCCGUAAACGAUGAAUGCUAGGUGUUGGAGGGUUUCCGCCCUUCAGUGCCGCAGCUAACGCAUUAAGCAUUCCGCCUGGGGAGUACGACCGCAAGGUUGAAACUCAAAGGAAUUGACGGGGGCCCGCACAAGCGGUGGAGCAUGUGGUUUAAUUCGAAGCAACGCGAAGAACCUUACCAGGUCUUGACAUCUUUUGAUCACCUGAGAGAUCAGGUUUCCCCUUCGGGGGCAAAAUGACAGGUGGUGCAUGGUUGUCGUCAGCUCGUGUCGUGAGAUGUUGGGUUAAGUCCCGCAACGAGCGCAACCCUUAUGACUAGUUGCCAGCAUUUAGUUGGGCACUCUAGUAAGACUGCCGGUGACAAACCGGAGGAAGGUGGGGAUGACGUCAAAUCAUCAUGCCCCUUAUGACCUGGGCUACACACGUGCUACAAUGGAUGGUACAACGAGUUGCGAGACCGCGAGGUCAAGCUAAUCUCUUAAAGCCAUUCUCAGUUCGGACUGUAGGCUGCAACUCGCCUACACGAAGUCGGAAUCGCUAGUAAUCGCGGAUCAGCACGCCGCGGUGAAUACGUUCCCGGGCCUUGUACACACCGCCCGUCACACCAUGAGAGUUUGUAACACCCGAAGCCGGUGGCGUAACCCUUUUAGGGAGCGAGCCGUCUAAGGUGGUCAACUG
rnacentral:rRNA from 1 species